rnacentral:rRNA from 1 species
UACGUAGGGUGCAAGCGUUGUCCGGAAUUAUUGGGCGUAAAGAGCUCGUAGGCGGUCUGUCGCGUCUGCUGUGAAAACUCAGGGCUUAACCCUGAGCUUGCAGUGGGUACGGGCAGACUAGAGUGCGGUAGGGGAGACUGGAAUUCCUGGUGUAGCGGUGAAAUGCGCAGAUAUCGGGAGGAACACCUGUGGCGAAGGCGGCCCCCUGGUUGGAUACUGACGCUGAGACGCGAAAGCGUGGGGAGCAAACAGG